GGAGGAGCAAGUAGUAGAGCACAUGCUUAGCAUGCAUGAGGUCCUGGGUUCAAUCCCCAGUACCUCCU
rnacentral:tRNA from 1 species